UACGUAGGGUGCAAGCGUUGUUCGGAAUCAUUGGGCGUAAAGCGCGUGUAGGCGGUUAGUUAAGUCUGAUGUGAAAUCCCUAGGCUCAACCAAGGAAGUGCAUUAGAAACUAACUAGCUAGAAGAUGGUAGAGGAAGGUGGAAUUCCAAGUGUAGAGGUGAAAUUCGUAGAUAUUUGGAGGAAUACCGGUGGCGAAGGCGGCCUUCUGGGCCAUUCUUGACGCUGAGACGCGAAAGCGUGGGUAGCAAACAGG
rnacentral:rRNA from 1 species